rnacentral:piRNA from 1 species
UCCAUUCUCACAGGACCUCCAGUGCGUCA